rnacentral:rRNA from 1 species
UACGGAGGGUGCGAGCGUUAAUCGGAAUUACUGGGCGUAAAGCGCACGCAGGCGGGUUAUUAAGUCAGAUGUGAAAUCCCCGGGCUUAACCCGGGAAUUGCAUUUCAGACUGGGCAGCUAGAGUCCUGUAGGGGGGGGUAGAAUUCCAUGUGUAGCGGUGAAAUGCGUAGAGAUGUGGAGGAAUACCGAAGGCGAAGGCGGCCCCCUGGAAAAAGACUGACGCUCAGGUGCGAAAGCGUGGGGAGCAAACAGG